ensembl:lncRNA
GGGCAGCAGGAAGCCUAGUGGUUAGAGGGGGGAGGCAGGUAGCCUAGUGGUUAGAGAGAGAGAGGCAGGUAGCCUAGUGGUUAGAGAGAGAGAGGCAGGUAGCCUAGUGGUUAGAGAGAGAGAGGCAGGUAGCCUAGUGGUUAGAGGGGGGAGGCAGGUAGCCUAGUGGUUAGAGAGAGAGAGAGAGGCAGGUAGCCUAGUGGUUAGAGGGGAGGCAGGUAGCCUAGUGGUUAGAGAAGGGAGGCAGGUAGCCUAGUGGUUAGAGGGGGGAGGCAGGUAGCCUAGUGGUUAGAGAGGGGAGGCAGGUAGCCUAGUGGUUAGAGGGGGAGGCAGGUAGCCUAGUGGUUAGAGAGGGGAGGCAGGUAGCCUAGUGGUUAGAGAGGGAGGCAGGUAGCCUAGUGGUUAGAGGGGGAGGCAGGUAGCCUAGUGGUUAGAGGGGGGAGGCAGCCUAGUGGUUAGAGGGGGGAGGCAGGUAGCCUAGUGGUUAGAGAGAGAGGCAGGUAGCCUAGUGUGGUUAGAGGGGAGGCAGGUAGCCUAGUGGUUAGAGAGAGAGGCAGGUAGCCUAGUGGUUAGAGGGGAGG